GCAAGUCGAACGAACCUUCGGGUGAGUGGCGCACGGGUGCGUAACGCGUGGGAAUGUACAUCUCGGUAAGGAAUAACUGCUGGAAACGGUAGCUAAUACCUUAUAAUGACUCCGGUCCAAAGAUUUAUCGCCGAGAGAUCAGCCCGCGUCAGAUUAGAUAGUUGGUGAGGUAAGAGCUCACCAAGUCGACGAUCUGUAGGGGGUCUGAGAGGAUGAUCCCCCACACUGGUACUGAGACACGGACCAGACUCCUACGGGAGGCAGCAGUGAGGAAUAUUGGACAAUGGAGGAAACUCUGAUCCAGCCAUGCCGCGUGUAUGAAGAAGGCCUUAGGGUUGUAAAGUACUUUCAAUAGUGAAGAUAAUGACGGUAGCUAUAGAAGAAGCUCCGGCUAAAUUCGUGCCAGCAGCCGCGGUAAUACGAAUGGAGCAAGCGUUGUUCGGAAUCACUGGGCUUAAAGCGUAUGUAGGCGGAACUGAAAGUCAGGAGUGAAAUCCCAGGGCUCAACCCUGGAACUGCUUCUGAAACUUCAGUUCUAGAAUUCUGGAGAGGUUGGGAGAAUUCCUAGUGUAGAGGUGAAAUUCGCAGAUAUUAGGAGGAAUACCAGUGGCGUAGGCGCCCAACUGGACAGACAUUGACGCUCAGAUACGAAAGCGUGGGGAGCAAACAGGAUUAGAUACCCUGGUAGUCCACGCCGUAAACGAUGUGUGCUAGUUGUCAGGCCCAUAGGGUUUGGUGACGGAGCGAAAGUAUUAAGCACACCGCCUGGG
rnacentral:rRNA from 1 species